rnacentral:rRNA from 1 species
UACGAAGGGGGGCUAGCGUUGCUCGGAAUCACUGGGCGUAAAGGGCGCGUAGGCGGCCGGCCAAGUCGGGGGUGAAAGCCUGUGGCUCAACCACAGAAUGGCCCUCGAUACUGGACGGCUCGAGACCGGAAGAGGUUGGUGGAAUUGCGAGUGUAGAGGUGAAAUGCGCAGAUAUCAGGAAGAACACCCGUGGCGAAGGCGGCUCUCUGGGACGGUACUGACGCUGAGACGCGAAAGCGUGGGGAGCGAACAGG